AGUCAAUAGAUACCCGGGUAGUCCACGCCGUAAACGAUGAGUACUAGGUGUAGGAGGUAUCGACUCCUUCUGUGCCGCAGUUAAACACAAUAAGUACUCCGCCUGGGAAGUACGGUCGCAAGAUUAAAACUCAAAGGAAUUGACGGGGGCCCGCACAAGCAGCGGAGCAUGUGGUUUAAUUCGAAGCAACGCGAAGAACCUUACCUAGACUUGACAUCCCCUGAAUUACCUGUAAUAAGGGAAGCCCUUCGGGGCAGGGAGACAGGUGGUGCAUGGUUGUCGUCAGCUCGUGUCGUGAGAUGUUGGGUUAAGUCCCGCAACGAGCGCAACCCUUAUCAUUAGUUGCUACCAGUAAGAUGAGCACUCUAAUGAGACUGCCCGGGUUAACCGGGAGGAAGGCGGGGAUGACGUCAAAUCAUCAUGCCCCUUAUGUCUAGGGCUACACACGUGCUACAAUGGUGAGAACAACAAGAUGCAAGACCGCGAGGUGGAGCAAAACUGAAAAACUCAUCUCAGUUCGGAUUGCAGGCUGAAACUC
rnacentral:rRNA from 1 species